AGGCCUCCAAUGGAGGAGAGGGUUGGGCCGGAGCAAUUUUCUGCCCGGUCCCCCGAAAACGCUCUUUUCUUUGGUUUGACGGACUGUCAGGCUGCCUGGGCCUCCCUGGGGAGACGAGACGCAAAACUUCCCGCGUGUGGUUAUCGCUCGGAGAUGGACGGAGCGCGAGAGAGAAAGAACGAAGAAGAAAGGCAGAAAGGUGGGGCCCGGAAAGCAGGCGGCAAUUAGCGGAGAGCCUGGCAUGGUGUUGGGCUUUUGUGCAGCCGCACGGCAUCCCCGGCUCCCGCUCAGCCUAGCAGACCCCCCCCCCGCCCCCCGCCAAUCAUUGGGGUCCCCGUUCCUACUCGAUGCCGAGGUCGACUUCGGGGAUGCCGCUGAGCAUCUGGUUGGAGAGCAUCUCCUCGGUCUUCUUGGCAGAAGAUACACGGAUGCUCUCGGGCAGCUCGUAGAGACAGUCCUCCGCGUUCUUGGCCUUCACCUUCCGCUCCUCGCUCUCCACGAUGCCCUUGCGCUUCUUCAGCUCCGUCUCAAUGUACUUCAUCCUGGGAACACCAGAAAGAUCAUCUAUCUAUCUAUCUAUCUAUCUAUCUA